AAAAAGAAAAUGAAAUUCGUAUGAGGAAUGGGCUGAGUGACUAUCGUAGUAACGCAUGUGGUAUUAUGCGUAGUAGUGACCUUACUAUUGGACAUAAUAACAAUCGUAAUAAUAAUAGUAGUAAUAGUAUUAAUAUCAAUAACAGCAGUCAUAGCAACAUUAGUAGUACUAGCAACAUUAAUAGUACUAUCAACAAUAACACUAAUAACAGCAAUAGUAAAGAGCAAACUAAUGACAACAACAGCAACGGCAAUAAUGAAUAUAUGUUUACUUAUCUAAAUGCAUAUAUAAAUAAGAAUAUAAAAAAUAAAAAACAAGAUAAUAUUCCUUGUAAUACUAAUAGUUUUAAUGGCCAGAAUGAUGACAAUACAUAUACUGUAACUGAAAAUACAACAAAUAAUAACAUUGCUAAAAACUAUAAUCAUAUGUAUAAAAAUUUAAUAGAUAAUAAUGAAUUAAAAGAGAAAAACACAACAAUGAAUGAAUCUCAAAAUGUAAUAUAUAAGUUUGUUUCUAAUGAAAAAGAGGUAAAUGUUGAUAAACAUUUGAACGAUUUUAUAAAUUAUUCAUUGUAUAAUACUGCUUCUAAUACUCCAACUACCCCUAAUACUCUCACUACUUCUAAUACUUCGACUACUUCUAAUACUCCGACUACUCUUAAUACUCCGACUACUCCUAAUAAUCUCACUACUUCUAAUACGUCCACUACUUCUAAUACUCUUACUAUUCCUAAUAUUUCCAUUACUCCUCAUAUUUCCAUUACUCAUAAUACUCCCACUACAUCUAAUACUGCUUCUAUUUUUUCCAAUACUGCCACCACUACUACUAGUGGCAAUAAUAAUGUUGCUAAUUUAAAAUACAAUGAUGAUACAUAUAAUACUAUUAAAAAACAAAAUUAUUUAAAAAAUGUUAAAAAUGACAUGAACAAUAAAGAACAUACAUUAUACUUUGCCGACACAGAUACGAGUGCUUACACUAAUGCUCACACUAAUUCUCACACUAGUACAUACACUUAUGGCGAAGUAAAUAAAAAUAAUACUUUUAAUAAUAACGAAAAUGCAGAUUUUAAAGUGAAGUGUAUAAAACAAAAUGUAAAUGAAGAUUUAAACAAAAAAAAAAUAUUAAAAAAUAAUAUUUUUUAUGAUCAUAGUUUAUCUCUGAAUGAUUCUAUCAAAGAGUAUAAUCCUACUAUUUCUGGUAAUGGCCGUAGUCAUGCUUUUAAUAAUAAUAAUAAUAAUAACAAUAA
rnacentral:lncRNA from 1 species